rnacentral:rRNA from 1 species
ACUAUCAUUAACUGAAUCCAUAGGUUAAUGAGGCGAACCGGGGGAACUGAAACAUCUAAGUACCCCGAGGAAAAGAAAUCAACCGAGAUUCCCCCAGUAGCGGCGAGCGAACGGGGAGCAGCCCAGAGCCUGAAUCAGUGUGUGUGUUAGUGGAAGCGUCUGGAAAGGCGCGUGAUACAGGGUGACAGCCCCGUACACAAAAAUGCACAUGCUGUGAGCUCGAUGAGUAGGGCGGGACACGUGGUAUCCUGUCUGAAUAUGGGGGGACCAUCCUCCAAGGCUAAAUACUCCUGACUGACCGAUAGUGAACCAGUACCGUGAGGGAAAGGCGAAAAGAACCCCGGCGAGGGGAGUGAAAAAGAACCUGAAACCGUGUACGUACAAGCAGUGGGAGCACGCUUAGGCGUGUGACUGCGUACCUUUUGUAUAAUGGGUCAGCGACUUAUAUUCUGUAGCAAGGUUAACCGAAUAGGGGAGCCGAAGGGAAACCGAGUCUUAACUGGGCGUUAAGUUGCAGGGUAUAGACCCGAAACCCGGUGAUCUAGCCAUGGGCAGGUUGAAGGUUGGGUAACACUAACUGGAGGACCGAACCGACUAAUGUUGAAAAAUUAGCGGAUGACUUGUGGCUGGGGGUGAAAGGCCAAUCAAACCGGGAGAUAGCUGGUUCUCCCCGAAAGCUAUUUAGGUAGCGCCUCGUGAAUUCAUCUCCGGGGGUAGAGCACUGUUUCGGCAAGGGGGUCAUCCCGACUUACCAACCCGAUGCAAACUGCGAAUACCGGAGAAUGUUAUCACGGGAGACACACGGCGGGUGCUAACGUCCGUCGUGAAGAGGGAAACAACCCAGACCGCCAGCUAAGGUCCCAAAGUCAUGGUUAAGUGGGAAACGAUGUGGGAAGGCCCAGACAGCCAGGAUGUUGGCUUAGAAGCAGCCAUCAUUUAAAGAAAGCGUAAUAGCUCACUGGUCGAGUCGGCCUGCGCGGAAGAUGUAACGGGGCUAAACCAUGCACCGAAGCUGCGGCAGCGACGCUUAUGCGUUGUUGGGUAGGGGAGCGUUCUGUAAGCCUGUGAAGGUGUACUGUGAGGUAUGCUGGAGGUAUCAGAAGUGCGAAUGCUGACAUAAGUAACGAUAAAGCGGGUGAAAAGCCCGCUCGCCGGAAGACCAAGGGUUCCUGUCCAACGUUAAUCGGGGCAGGGUGAGUCGACCCCUAAGGCGAGGCCGAAAGGCGUAGUCGAUGGGAAACAGGUUAAUAUUCCUGUACUUGGUGUUACUGCGAAGGGGGGACGGAGAAGGCUAUGUUGGCCGGGCGACGGUUGUCCCGGUUUAAGCGUGUAGGCUGGUUUUCCAGGCAAAUCCGGAAAAUCAAGGCUGAGGCGUGAUGACGAGGCACUACGGUGCUGAAGCAACAAAUGCCCUGCUUCCAGGAAAAGCCUCUAAGCAUCAGGUAACAUCAAAUCGUACCCCAAACCGACACAGGUGGUCAGGUAGAGAAUACCAAGGCGCUUGAGAGAACUCGGGUGAAGGAACUAGGCAAAAUGGUGCCGUAACUUCGGGAGAAGGCACGCUGAUAUGUAGGUGAAGUCCCUCGCGGAUGGAGCUGAAAUCAGUCGAAGAUACCAGCUGGCUGCAACUGUUUAUUAAAAACACAGCACUGUGCAAACACGAAAGUGGACGUAUACGGUGUGACGCCUGCCCGGUGC